UGUACAUACAACGUUUUUAUGUACAAUUGUUUUUUGGAAAUCCUUAAAAAGUUCGACCGUGGUGCUUCAAAAGUCGUUUAUAAAAUCGUGAUAGGUGAUGAAUCAUGGAUAUAUGCGUAUGACCCGGAAACUAAACAGCAAUCGACCGUGUGGGUGUUCCAAGAAGAGCCAAAUCCAACAGAAGUUGUUCGAGCACGAAGCACUUUGAAGCAAAUGGUCGCCUGUUUCUUCGGGAGAAUGGGUCAUGUGGCCAUUGUUCUGCUAGAGCAACGUAGGACUGUCAAUUCUGAGUGGUAAACGGCCAUUUUUUUGCCGGAGGUCUUCGGAGAAAUUCGCAAAACCAGCUGCCGAACACGAAUCAUUCUCCAUCAUGACAAGGCGAGCUCUCUACUUCUUCUGAAGGAAUGUCCAAUUCAUUUCCAAUGAUGGCCUGUUGAAAUCUUGAUGCAGCAAAUAUUUCUCCUUCUCUCUGACUAAAUUUACCCCACCUCAAUAAACAUAAAUUUAGAGUUAGAAUCGGCAACGUCUCGAACAAUUGAAAACAAAUUGUUUAAAAUGAAAAUAAUCCGAGCCAGAAUUAUUUGAGCAUUUUAAUCGGCAGUGAUGGGAAGUCGUACUCUGUACAGUCUGGUGGGAUCAUGGGACAAAUAUCUAAAAUAUCUCAUAUUUAGCGGAGCUGUGCAAAAAGAAAUUUUAAUACUUAAACGGCGAAUAUCGCAAGGCUCAGCGACAUGUGCCAAAACACGACUCAGGAGCAACAGCUGCGGAGCCUCACCAUUCGAAAUUUAAAUAUUUACAUUUUAUGCAUUUUUUGAAGUAUGAUUUCGGUGGAGAAACUGGCGGAAAUAUACAAGAUGUUGUACAUACGGAUAUAAUACUGAUUCGAGCAAUGUAAAGAAGAAACCAACCAUUUUUUUCCGGAUUCGGUGUCAGUUUUUCUAUUCCGUUCUGCUCUUCAAACAAUGUCGUACUAUCCCAUUCAGUACUUCGCGCCACAGCAGCAGCCGUGGCCCAACAGCUGACCCAACUGUAGCAGGUGGACUCACAGCUCAUCCAGCACAGCUUACAGCGUACCAUUGCGGCAUGCAGAAUGUUAACGAUUUUCAGGGAGGCUUCCAUAAUGCAGGCGCCCUAGACCUAGGCGACCUAGGCAACAAUCCGACUGCUCCGCCCAGCACCGCAUCGAAGCCCCAAGAAGAGCAGACGCAGCUGACUCCUGGGAUGUACUAUGUGGCGAGUAUCUUGGUCCCACAGAAGGGUAGGCGGCUCCACAGGGCCAGCAAACCGUGGGAGCGGGACAAGGACCUAGAGAUGAGACGCGAACAGCAGCAACAGCAGCAUAGCAACAGCCCAAGAACCUACUUAAGCAUAACCAGCCCCCCUCGCCAUCCAUGACACAUACAUAGGUCGGUAAAACAUCACCAGGAGCAGCAUCUGCCUCACCAUGCGCACCACCACCUGACUCGCAGGAGGUGGCGAAGCAGCAUCCUUAUCUACUCCUCCUGUAAAGUCUAUCGAGAGAAAAUUGUAAAGCUCUUUCCUGCGGAACCGCGGGAGUCUCCAAGCGGAUUCCUGUCCAUUUGAUAUAGAAGAAUGGAUAUAGAAUAUAUAAGAUGGA
rnacentral:sRNA from 1 species